CAGGCCGUUCCGGCCGGGGACGGGUGAAGUGGUCAUUACACCGUCGGAGGCCCGGGGACUCGCCUCACUCCUCGGAAGAUCCGGCUUCCCCAUCUGAGGUUCCAGGCCUGAAAUCAGUCCCAGGCGGAAACGACCAAGGGAAGAAACAUCCAGGGCAGCCGGGUGGUUAUCAUCGGGGAGCGUGCCCGCGGGAGGGAGGUGAGAAAGCAGAGGAAGACUGGCUGACGGUCCACAGCAGCGCCAGUCCAGGCGGCCAGAGCUGGAAAGGUCCGGAAGCUCGGAAGGA